UGGGCGUGCUGGUGUUACAAGGAGGUGGUUUCAGGUGCAUUCUGGGCGUGCUGGUCUAACAGGGAGGUGUGUUCAGGUGCAUUCUGGGCGUGCUGGUCUUACAGGGAGGUGUGUUCAGGUGCAUUCUGGGUGUAUUGCUAUCUUGAGGCAGGGGGAAGUGAUCGCACCAUUAACCAACAAAACCAACAGUUAUUUUAACAGAGAAUUAUUAAAAUGCUCCUAGGCACACACACAGGGCGCAUACACUAGUCCUUUUACACACACACACACACACACACACACACACACACAC